rnacentral:rRNA from 2 species
ACGGGAGGCAGCAGUGGGGGAUAUUGCACAAUGGGGGAAACCCUGAUGCAGCAACGCCGCGUGAGGGAAGACGGUUUUCGGAUUGUAAACCUCUGUCUUCGGUGACGAUAAUGACGGUAGCCGAGGAGGAAGCUCCGGCUAACUACGUGCCAGCAGCCGCGGUAAUACGUAGGGAGCAAGCGUUAUCCGGAUUUACUGGGUGUAAAGGGUGCGUAGGCGGGGACGCAAGUCAGGCGUGAAAUCCAUCGGCUUAACUGAUGGGCUGCGCUUGAAACUGUGUUUCUUGAGUGAAGUAGAGGCAGGCGGAAUUCCCGGUGUAGCGGUGAAAUGCGUAGAGAUCGGGAGGAACACCAGUGGCGAAGGCGGCCUGCUGGGCUUUUACUGACGCUGAGGCACGAAAGCGUGGGUAGCAAACAGGAUUAGAUACCCUGGUA